rnacentral:lncRNA from 1 species
AGCAAUUUCAAGAGUUUUGUAGUAGAUCUAUGAGUAUAAUUUUGUAGAUUAAUGGUUAUAGUUUUGCUUAAUAUUUUUUGUGAAUCUUAGCUUGAUCUAACGGUUGAAUUGAGGAUUAUUGAGGUUUAAGUGGGUCAAGGUCUUAGAAAGUAGAAUUUUAGGUCUAAUAAGGAUUUUUAAGAUUUCUUACAAUUUACUUAUUGGAUUGGAGUGAAAUUUAUAUAUGAAGAUAUUAGACUUGUUUUUUUAUGUAUAUGAGAAUUUUGAGAUGAACCGAAUGGUGAAAAGGAGAGAUAUUGGCUCUAGGAGAUUGACAUCAAGGUCAAAGAAGGAGACUAGCCAAUAUCUAAGCAUGUUUUUGAGGCUAUCAUCUAUUUGGUAAUUCCAAUCAUUUUCAAAUUUUUUGUGCUUUUUUUCAACUUUAUUGUUAAGAAGUGUGCAAAUUUUGACUUAAGAUCAAUAAUUCAUUUAUUAGUAAUUGAGGUUUAAAUCUGUUGUAGGAAUUACUAGGAUUUGAUUUAGGAUUUAGGAUUUGGUUAAGAUUUGAUUUAGGAUUUGAUUAGGAUUUGAUUUAGCAUUUUAUUAGGAUUUAUUUAGGAUUUAAGAUUUAAUUAGUUUUUGGCCUAAAGUUUGAAUGAAGUCUAAUAGGAUUUUAACUAAUAUUAAAUUAAGAUUAAAUUGAGAUGUAUUUAAGAUAUAUUUGUAAUCAUUUUAAUAUUUCUUUAAGAUUUCUUGUUGUUUCUAUGUAAUUCUUUUGAGAUUUCUUUGAAUUUGAUUAAAGCUUACUUAGCAUUGUUAUGAUCUAGUUAGAGUUUAGUUAGUAUUCUAUUAGAUUUGAGAUUUUGUUGUUGCAAUUUCCAUUCUACCUUCCACACACAGGUGCCAGAGCAUUCUCAAGUAAGACUUCACCUAUUAAGACAACAUAAUUAUAUUUACCUUUUAAAAUAUAUAGG